GACGAACGCUGGCGGCGUGCUUAACACAUGCGAGUCGAACGCUGAAGCUCAGCUUGCUGGGUGGAUGAGUGGCGAACGGGUGAGUAACACGUGAGUAACCUGCCCUCUUCUUUGGGAUAACGCCCGGAAACGGGUGCUAAUACUGGAUAUUCACUGAUUCUCGCAUGGGGGUUGGUGGAAAGGUUUUUUCUGGUGGGGGAUGGGCUCGCGGCCUAUCAGCUUGUUGGUGGGGUGAUGGCCUACCAAGGCUUUGACGGGUAGCCGGCCUGAGAGGGUGACCGGUCACAUUGGGACUGAGAUACGGCCCAGACUCCUACGGGAGGCAGCAGUGGGGAAUAGUGCACAAUGGGCGAAAGCCUGAUGCAGCGACGCCGCGUGAGGGAUGGAGGCCUUCGGGUUGUAAACCUCUUUCGCUCAUGGUCAAGCCGCAGCUUUGGGUUGUGGUGAGGGUAGUGGGUAAAGAAGCGCCGGCUAACUACGUG
rnacentral:rRNA from 1 species